rnacentral:rRNA from 1 species
UACGUAGGGUGCAAGCGUUAAUCGGAAUUACUGGGCGUAAAGCGUGCGCAGGCGGUUAUAUAAGACAGUUGUGAAAUCCCCGGGCUCAACCCUGGGAACUGCAUCUGUGACUGUAUAGCUAGAGUACGGUAGAGGGGGAUGGAAUUCCGCGUGUAGCAGUGAAAUGCGUAGAUAUGCGGAGGAACACCGAUGGCGAAGGCAAUCCCCUGGGCCUGCACUGACGCUCAUGCACGAAAGCGUGGGGAGCAAACAGG